rnacentral:snRNA from 1 species
UCUCUCACCUGCAGGGGGUCACUAUGAUUACGAAAGUGGUUUUCUCAGGGCGAGGCUUAUCCAUUGCACUCAAGAUGUUCUGAACCCUGCGAUUUCCCCAAAUGUGGGAAACUCGACUGCAUACUUUGUGGUAGUGGGGACUGCAUCAUACUCCCUC